rnacentral:rRNA from 1 species
UACGGGGGGGGCAAGCGUUGUUCGGAAUUACUGGGCGUAAAGGGCUCGUAGGCGGCCAACUAAGUCAGACGUGAAAUCCCUCGGCUUAACCGGGGAACUGCGUCCGAUACUGGUGGGCUUGAAUCCGGGAGAGGGAUGCGGAAUUCCAGGUGUAGCGGUGAAAUGCGUAGAUAUCCGGAGGAACACCGGUGGCGAAGGCGGCUUCCUGGACCGACACUGACGCUGAGGCGCGAAAGCUAGGGGAGCAAACGGG